CUAUAGGAUUGGGCAAACAGACUGUCAACACAGUGGUAUAACCAAUCAAAUCCUCUCUUUUAGCCGGGAGGGCGGGACAUUUAGUGGAACGUGAAACUUAUUGCCGCUGCUCACUAAAACGACGCUAAUAAAACCGAUCGUGUCCAAAAUGGAGCACAGGGAACGGAAAGAAACAACACCGAUGUUCAUGACAAGACUUGGGUCACAGCUGAGAAAGCCACUUCACACAA